CUCGUAGGCGGCCAACUAAGUCAGACGUGAAAUCCCUCGGCUUAACCGGGGAACUGCGUCUGAUACUGGUUGGCUUGAAUCCGGGAGAGGGAUGUGGAAUUCCAGGUGUAGCGGUGAAAUGCGUAGAUAUCUGGAGGAACACCGGUGGCGAAGGCGGCAUCCUGGACCGGAAUUGACGCUGAGGAGCGAAAGCCAGGGGAGGCAAACG
rnacentral:rRNA from 1 species